rnacentral:rRNA from 1 species
UACGUAGGUGACCAGCGUUGUCCGGAUUUACUGGGCGUAAAGAGCGCGCAGGCGGUCGUUCAAGUCGAGUGUGAAAGCCCCCGGCUCAACUGGGGAGGGUCAUUCGAUACUGAUCGACUUGAAGGCAGGAGAGGGAAGCGGAAUUCCCGGUGUAGUGGUGAAAUGCGCAGAUAUCAGGAGGAACACCGGUGGCGAAGGCGGAUCUCUGGGCCGUAACUGACGCUGAGGAGCGAAAGCAUGGGGAGCGAACAGG